GGAAAGGACUGUAGCUCUGUGGCAGAGCACAUGCAUUGCAUUCAAACGGUUCCAGGUUCAAUCCCUGGCAUUUCCA